rnacentral:rRNA from 1 species
GACGAACGCUGGCGGCGUGCUUAACACAUGCAAGUCGAACGGAAAGGCCCUGCUUUUGUGGGGUGCUCGAGUGGCGAACGGGUGAGUAACACGUGAGUAACCUGCCCUUGACUUUGGGAUAACUUCAGGAAACUGGGGCUAAUACCGGAUAGGAGCUCCUGCUGCAUGGUGGGGGUUGGAAAGUUUCGGCGGUUGGGGAUGGACUCGCGGCUUAUCAGCUUGUUGGUGGGGUAGUGGCUUACCAAGGCUUUGACGGGUAGCCGGCCUGAGAGGGUGACCGGCCCCAUUGGGACUGAGGUACGGCCCAGACUCCUACGGGAGGCAGCAGUGGGGAAUAUUGCACAAUGGGCGGAAGCCUGAUGCAGCAACGCCGCGUGCGGGAUGACGGCCUUCGGGUUGUAAACCGCUUUCGCCUGUGACGAAGCGUGAGUGACGGUAAUGGGUAAAGAAGCACCGGCUAACUACGUG